rnacentral:rRNA from 1 species
UCAGCAACGGAUCUCUUGGCUCUCGCAUCGAUGAAGAACGCAGCGAAAUGCGAUAAGUAAUGUGAAUUGCAGAAUUCAGUGAAUCAUCGAAUCUUUGAACGCACCUUGCGCUCCUUGGUAUUCCGAGGAGUACGCCUGUUUGAGUGUCAGUUGA